rnacentral:rRNA from 1 species
UACGGAGGGUGCGAGCGUUGUCCGGAAUCACUGGGCGUAACGGGCGCGUAGGCGGCAGGCCAAGCGUGCGGUGAAAGUCCGGGGCUCAACCCCGGAUCGGCCGUGCGGACUGGUUUGCUGGAGCACUGUAGAGGCGAGUGGAAUUCCGGGUGUAGCGGUGGAAUGCGUAGAGAUCCGGAAGAACACCGGUGGCGAAGGCGGCUCGCUGGGCAGUGGCUGACGCUGAGGCGCGACAGCGUGGGGAGCAAACAGG